rnacentral:misc_RNA from 1 species
AAAACAAAUACUACUGUUUUCUAAAUUACACAAUUUUUAUGUCCAAACGCCCACGAGCCUUUUUGUUACACUCAUAGAGUUCUGUUUUUUGUCUUUGGAAUUGCUUUCAAUGGCUUUAAUUUUCUAACAGUUACUCCCAUUCUAUCUCGUGUAUCCAAAGCCUCAUCAAGAACAGAAACAUCAAUCUCCCAAUCGAAUUCACUCAACAACGCCCCAAGUACCAAAUGCAACAUCCGAUGAGCCAAUGGAAUUCCAGCACAAAUCCUUCUCCCAGCACCAAACGGAAUAAACUCAAAAUUCUGACCCCUAUAUUCAAUAUUCAAAUCCAAGAACCUUUCUGGCUUGAAAUCCAAAGGGUCUUUCCAACACUCGGGAUCUCUUCCAAUUGCCCAAGUGUUCACGAAAACUUGUGUGCCUUUAGGGAUAUGAUACCCCACGAAUUCGGUAUCUUGAAUUGCCUUUCUUGGAACUAGAAAUGGAAUUGGAGGGUGUAAUCUUAACGUUUCUUUUACAACAGCUUGCAAAUACUUGUGAUUAUCGAUGUCAUUUUCUUCGAAUUUCUUGGUAUCUCCAAGAACCUCGGAUAACUCGGUUUUAACCUUGUCCAUUGCCUCUGGAUUGCACAGUAGCUCUGUCAUCGCCCAUUCUAUGCUACUGCUUGUAGUCUCCGAACCAGCUAAGAAUAUUUCCAAAAUUAUCAAGAUGAGUUCUUGAUCUGAUAUCUUCUCUGGUUCAUCCUUCCCUUUGCCUUCAUAUUCCAAUAGAACUUCCAAAAAAUCCUUCUUCUUCUCUCCGGUCCUUUCCCUUUCUUCGAACCUCUCCUUCAAAAAACCCGAUACAAUUUCAAUCGUCUUCCCAAGUCCGCGAUCCAUCUUCCUCCUCAAACCUUGAGGAUCAAGCCAUCUCAACCAUGGAAACACAUCCACAAUGUUCUGAUGUCCAGAACAUUCCAUUAACCCCACCAUCGCCGCGAAAAACUCAGUCCCCUUCUCGGAUUUUGGGUCAACUAAUUCGCGCGAUAGCACCAAUUUCCCCAGCAUGUUAAACGAGGCUAGAAACACGAAUUUCGCCACGUGAAUUCCUUCAGAGGAGCUGAACUCUCUGUUUUCUAUCCAUUCGAUUAAAUCAUCGAUACAUUUCCGACGAACUUCCACUGUUUCAGUGAUCCGUUUGUUAACUAACAUUUGAACUGUCAUGAUUCGUUUCAUGAUCCGCCAGUAAGUACCGUAAGGUGCUAGAGCUAGUGAUCCUUUAUCAUAACCGUGUGAUUUCAUCACCUCGGUUACUGAUCUCUCCGCGAAAGCCAUGUCGUGGUUCCUGAAGAACUCACCAGCUGCUUUCGCGGACAGAAUCACCAUAGUGUUAAUAGAACCGAGCUUUAGCCAAACUACUGGACCGUAUUUCUGUUUUAGAUCCAUUAGUGUUUUAUGUGGCUCGUUACCGAGCUCGAGCAUGCUGCCAAACACGGGCCACCCUCGUGGCCCGGGAGG